UUCUAUUUUUCUCUUUAUCGGGUUCGGACAUUUUUCAGUCAAUAGCAUUCACUUUCAUACUUGCGUCUACUAUUUUGAAAUUCUUUGCUCUCAUUUUUGUCGUUUGUCGGUUGUUUCAUUGGUGUGUUCAUAUGUUAAUUAACUCACCGCAAUUUUGUGUUCGGGUCACAGUAUAUGAUCCAAAAGUAAUACUUUAGUUUUCAGAUAGUGAGAAUAUCAUUGUUUUAAUUAAUUUGGGACAGUAGCUGAUCAUGGCGUAACUACAAAGUGUCGAAACAUAGUGUAUGUGCUGUGUUCUAUCAUCUGAAAUCAGAAAAUAUUUGUAUGGGAUCUGGGCAAUCUAUGAGCAAGGAAACACGCACUAUGUUUUCAAUAAUGCACAAAAAGGAAAGAAUUACUCGAAACGUUUCUUUUUUUUAAAUAAAUCCACGUUUUUAAAAAUUUAAUUAUUUCCUUGUUGCAUCGCUAAAAAUUUUUUAGAUCUAAUAUUUAAAUUGAAAUCUAGAAAAUAAACCUAUCUAUGUAUGUGAGUGAAAAACACAUCUCGAUGUGUAUACAAAAACAGACAUAUAUGAAAAUAGAGAAAAAAUAAUUUGACCAGGGUAAUGAAAAACUUUAAUAAAUAAAAAAACGUGUAUAUAUGUGUGUGAUUUGAUUUAAUGUUAAAAUCGUGUAAAUAGUCGGUAUUAUAUAUGUAUUAUUCGUCAAAAAUAUUUUAAAAGUGCACAAAUACAUAUUUUCAAAUUAUGUUUACGGGUCAAAAUUAGUUAAAUUUCAUGAAAAUUCAUUAUAAGCAAAAAAAAUGUAUUCAUGUGUAUAAAGUGAAUUCAAACUUAAGGUGACGAUUAAAAGACAUCAACCAUAAUGAAAUAUCAAAGGGUCACACAAAAAUAUUCAAUAUAAAUACAUGGGUUGAGGGUUUUCGUUACAACCAUCCAAAGUAUUCUCAAGCUCAUUCAAACUUUUUAUUUGGCAAAAACACUUAAAAAUAGG